GCUCUUUCGCGAGGGAAGAAAAGGGGCGCUCUAACAUAGCGCUCUGCUGACGGUACCUUGAGAAGAAGCACCGGCUAACUACGUGCCAGCAGCCGCGGUAAUACGUAGGGUGCGAGCGUUAAUCGGAAUUACUGGGCGUAAAGCGUGCGCAGGCGGUUUUNUAAGACAGGUGUGAAAUCCCCGGGCUUAACCCGGGAACUGCGCUUGUGACUGCAAGGCUAGAGUACGGCAGAGGGGGGUGGAAUUCCACGUGUAGCAGUGAAAUGCGUAGAUAUGUGGAGGAACACCGAUGGCGAAGGCAGCCCCCUGGGCCGAUACUGACGCUCAUGCACGAAAGCGUGGGGAGCAAACAGGAUUAGAUACCCUGGUAGUCCACGCCCUAAACGAUGUCGACUAGUUGUUCGGAGCGGUAACGCACUGAGUAACGUAGCUAACGCGUGAAGUCGACCGCCUGGGGAGUACGGUCGCAAGAUUAAAACUCAAAGGAAUUGACGG
rnacentral:rRNA from 1 species